rnacentral:rRNA from 1 species
GAUGAACGCUGGCGGCGUGCCUAAUACAUGCAAGUCGAGCGAAUGGAUUAAGAGCUUGCUCUUAUGAAGUUAGCGGCGGACGGGUGAGUAACACGUGGAUAACCUGCCCAUAAGACUGGGAUAACUCCGGGAAACCGGGGCUAAUACCGGAUAACAUUUUGAACCGCGUGGUUCGAAAUUGAAAGGCGGCUUCGGCUGUCACUUAUGGAUGGACCCGCGUCGCAUUAGCUAGUUGGUGAGGUAACGGCUCACCAAGGCAACGAUGCGUAGCCGACCUGAGAGGGUGAUCGGCCACACUGGGACUGAGACACGGCCCAGACUCCUACGGGAGGCAGCAGUAGGGAAUCUUCCGCGAUGGACGAAAGUCUGACGGAGCAACGCCGCGUGAGUGAUGAAGGCUUUCGGGUCGUAAAACUCUGUUGUUAGGGAAGAACAAGUGCUAGUUGAAUAAGCUGGCACCUUGACGGUACCUAACCAGAAAGCCACGGCUAACUACGUGCCAGCCGCCGCCGUAA